rnacentral:lncRNA from 1 species
GAGCCGGGAAGGAGGGGAGCGGAGGCCCGACAUGGGCAGGCCGGUGAAGAGAGCCGGGAUCCCUGGGUGGACCUGUCUUCAGCUUCCCUGUGAGCCGGGCUGCUAGCCUGCAGGACGCCCCGACUUGCCCACACCCCAACACUGGACAAAGCAGAAAUCCGGGGAACCCGAUGCCGAGCCUGGUGGCCCAUCUACAGCACAGUCUUCUGGGGCUCCAUCCUGCCACAAGGAAGCUGGAGUUCGGGGUCCCAGCAUGGAACUGCAGAGGGCCUGGCAGGCGGAGCCCGUGGAGAGACUUCACUAUUGGCUCGCUCCACUUUUUACAGUCUUUCAUUCCUCGCAAAGUUCUCAGAAGUGCCCCUCCGAUAGAGGAAAGUUAGAGGAAGGAGUCUGGUCGUCCUGGAUGCAAGAAUAACAAAUGAAGUUCCAGUUCCUGGACUGGGUUACAUCCAGUUGAAUUGUUGGCCAAAGAGUCCCAUGGAAAUAUCCAAGAAAUCCAGGCUGGUGCCAAGGUUAGAGAGGUUGAGUUAAUGUUUGAGGCAUCAUUCCUUACAUGCUCCAGAGCACAGAUUCUUAACUUGCAAUCUGAGGACUUUUCAACGACAAGACAACUUGGUGAUGGGAUAUAAUGGACAAAGUAAAAUAAGUUAUAAUUGGAAAUGGAACAAAAUGUAUGAAGGCAAGCCAAUACACACAUGUGGACUGGAGUCAUCUUAAUUGCAUUCUGUGUCACAAAAAGUCCCUGAAAGGCAACUAGAUUCCAAUGGAAAUUUUCAGAGAGAGAAUGCUGUUUCCAAAACUGCUGGCAGAGAAAUGCAGACAGCUACAAGGACCUAACACGGGUUUUACUGAGGAAGAAAAUUACUCUAUACAUCAGUUUUCCAGGAGUACUAAAAGAGAACAUAAGGUAUGGCCUACUACCUUCCUUUCUGUAUGAUCUGGGCAAACCGACCGGUGGUGGCAAGAGUAGUGUCAAUGAAGUGAUCCACACAGCAAGAGAGGCAGUUUCAGUGCGGGAGUCUAGCUGAUUUCCUGGCUUCUCCAUGCACUUAUCUCAACAUAGUUCCACGAAGUGAUGCACCUGCGCAGUGAACCCUGCCUUCUGCUGCUCGACAGCCACCAGGCUUUGUAACUCAGUUUCACCAAGCUCUGCCAUUGUCAGCGUCAAGAGCUUCGCUGUGGUACGCAUGCGUGGUCCUGAAAGCAACUUUUGCACUUUAUCAUCAACUCUAAGAUACUCAGGGGCUUCUAUCAAUGAUGAGACACAUCUGCAGAAACCCAUACUCCUUCCAUAGGAUCACACGAUCCUUGUCCAAGGGCGAACACACAGAACAUUGUUCAAACCAUACCAAUCCUGACCGGAGAGAACAGAGACAAACUGACUCACAGGAGAGAGGACCUAAGUACUUUAAUACAUUUUUUGAAAUUAUUAUAAAUUAUUUUACAAUAUCCAGAGCAAAUGAAACUAAUUUAAAAUAUUUUGUAAUACACAAGUCCCCAGAAAUACUUUGUGAAGUUAAAAAUAAAAUUUAAAAAAAUGGUCUUGCCAAAUUUCACUACAAAUCAUGAAUGCUAUUUCAAAAAUAAGAAAACAACAACAGCAGCAGCAAAAACAACAACUAAAACAAAAACAACAAAGAAAUAGAAGAUAUGAGGAUGUUUUCAAAAUUAAACCUUUAGAGAUAAUUGUCUUGGCACAGCUGCAGUUCCAGUUCUGAAGGCUAAUGCAGGAGUUUGAUGAAUUUCAGGGCAACUACGGCUGUGAUGACAGUAUACAAAGAUGAAACACAAUAAAAAUACACAUGAAUGAAACUAAGGCUCUAUAAUACUAAUAUUAGAAGAUAAACACAAAAUUUAUCUUUCCAUUCUUCUUUCUGUGGUGAUAAGAUGGGAAGUGAGCAGUGAUUUUAAUUAUGUUUACUUUUUAUUUGUUUAUUUUAUUUAUUUACAUUUCAAAUGUUAUUCCCCUUCCAAGUUUCCCCUCUGCAACCCACCUGUCCCAUUCCCUGUCCCCCUGCUCUAAGAGGGUGCUUCCUCACCCAUCCACUCCCUCCUCACCCCUCUCAUAUCCUCCCACCCCCCCCAUGCUUGGGCAUCUAUCCUCCACAGAACCAAGCCCCACCCACCCACCAAUUGAUGACCAACAAGGCCAUCCUCUGCUACAUCUGCAGCUGGAGCCUGGGUCCCUCCAUGUGUAUUCUUUGGUUGGUGGUUUAGUCUCAGGGAGAUCUUGUGGUGGGGGGAUCUGGUUGGUUAAUAGUUGUUCUUCCUAUGGGGUUGCAAACCCCUUCAGCUUCUUCAGUCCUUCCUCUAUCUCCUCCAUUGGAGUCCCAUGCCCAGUCAGAUAGUUGGCUGCAAGAAUCCACAUUUUGUUAUUCAAGUAUUCCUUAACUAUGGCAUUGACAAAGAAACCCAGAGAAGUUCACACAAUGCCAUUUUCCUAAUGGUCAAAAUCAAUUAAAACGAUAAGUUUUAAGAAGUCUCUCAGAUGGCAUUAACAAUGAGGAAAUGGAUAGAAGGGCAAGAAAGGAAGGAAACUAUAUGGAGAAUUGUGUUAGAAUCUGAAAUACCUUUCCAGAACAAAAGACAAAGCAGAGGUAUGACUACUAAGGAAACCACAAGGCAAGCACCAAUAUUUUGGGGCUUCUAGGAUAUGCUAAAUAUUGUGAAGUGCAUUGCAUGCAGGAAUCCGAGACCAAGCACUGGCAGGGUUCCUGCAGCACAUUCCUCCUGGUUUGGAUUCAGUAACUUCCCAGCCAGCUGAUACUUCAAAGUAUUUCCUUGAAGUUGUCAGGUGCCCAGAGCAAGAAUCCUGUGAUUCGAACUGACUCCUGCACUUGGAGGAGAGGAUGGGGCUCACCAAGCACAAUGGCUGCUGGGAAGUGGAGUGCCAAGUUUGCAACCAGAUUAACAGCAUAGCACCAGGACAGAUCAGAAAAGUCCUUCUGCUAAUUGUUCCUCUCAGGCUUCCAGUGUCACUCUGUGGAGCACCAUUGGAGUGACCAUAGGGAUGAUUGUGAAUGUUCAAGGAAAUCUGAGCAAGUACGUGUCAGAUAUGUGGAAGUGUGGAGGAUACAUGCUUUCAGAGUUGAUGUCAGGAAUCUAUGUGAGAAAUGACAAAAGCUUGCAUUUCAUGAUAAUAACAAUGGAGCAAAGAUGAAAUUAGGACAUUCACAGUAGAGGAAGCAGUUUUGGAUACAAGCUGAGUGUGAAGUUUGUGCAGUUGAUGGGGCUUCCCUGGGUACCUACCAACCCUGGCACUUCAAGUCUUCAUGGGACUAGGCACUUCCUUUCCUAUUGAGGACAGACAACGCAGCCCAGCCAGAGGAAUAUACCCCAUCUAAAGGUAACAGUUUAUAGGAUAGCUCUUGUUCCAGUUUUCCAGGACC